CUACGGGAGGCAGCAGGUGGGAAUAUUGCGCAAUGGACGAAGGUCUGACGCAGCGAUACCGCGUGAAGGAUUGAAGGUUUUCGGAUCGUAAACUUCUUUUAUGUGGGAAGAUUGUGACGGUACCACAUGAAUAAGGGCCGGCUAACUACGUGCCAGCAGCCGCGGUAAUACGUAGGGCCCAAGCGUUAUCCGGAUUUACUGGGUGUAAAGCGCAUGUAGGCGGUUUUGCAAGUUGUUUGUUAAAGCCCUUGGCUCAACCAAGGAAUCGCAGGCAAUACUACGAGACUGGAGAAUAGCAGGGGCAAGUGGAAUUCCCGGUGUAGGGAUUAAAUCCGUUGAUAUCGGGAGGAACACCAAUGGCGAAGGCAGCUUGCUAGGCAAUUUCUGACGCUGAGAUGCGAAAGCGUGGGUAGCGAACGGGAUUAGAUACCCUAGUAGUCU
rnacentral:rRNA from 1 species